AGUGAACGCUGGCGGUAGGCCUAACACAUGCAAGUCGAACGGCAGCACAGUAAGAGCUUGCUCUUACGGGUGGCGAGUGGCGGACGGGUGAGGAAUACAUCGGAAUCUACUUUUUCGUGGGGGAUAACGUAGGGAAACUUACGCUAAUACCGCAUACGACCUACGGGUGAAAGCAGGGGAUCUUCGGACCUUGCGCGAUUGAAUGAGCCGAUGUCGGAUUAGCUAGUUGGCGGGGUAAAGGCCCACCAAGGCGACGAUCCGUAGCUGGUCUGAGAGGAUGAGGGGGGGGGGGGGAGGGGGGAGGCGGUGGGGAGGGGGGGGGGAGGGGGCGGGGGGGAGGGUGGGGCAAGGGGGGGAAGGGGGAGGGAGGGGGGGCGCGUGGGUGAAGAAGGCCGUGGGGUGGUAAGGGCCUUUUGUUGGGAAAGAAAAGCAGCAGGUUAAUACCCCGCUGUUCUGACGGUACCCAAAGAAUAAGCACCGGCUAACUUCGUG
rnacentral:rRNA from 1 species